rnacentral:rRNA from 1 species
GGGAUUAGAUACCCCACUAUGCUUAGCCUUAAACCUAGAUGUUACAUUUACAACCAACAUCCGCCAGGGUACUACAAGCGCUAGCUUAAAACCCAAAGGACUUGACGGUGUCUCAGACCCACCUAGAGGAGCCUGUUCUAGAACCGAUAAUCCCCGUUAAACCUCACCACCCCUUGUUUUUUCCGCCUAUAUACCGCCGUCGCAAGCUUACCCUGUGAAGGACCCAUAGUAAGCAAGAUGGGUAAACCCCAAAACGUCAGGUCGAGGUGUAGCUUACGAGGUGGGAAGAAAUGGGCUACAUUUUCUAUAUCAGAAUAAUACGAACAGCAUUAUGAAAUUAGUGCUCGAAGGUGGAUUUAGUAGUAAAAAACAAAUAGAGAGUCUUUUUGAACCAGGCUCUGAGACGCGCACACACCGCCC